AUUGAACGCUGGCGGCAGGCCUAACACAUGCAAGUCGAGCGGUAGCACAGAGAGCUUGCUCUCGGGUGACGAGCGGCGGACGGGUGAGUAAUGUCUGGGAAACUGCCUGAUGGAGGGGGAUAACUACUGGAAACGGUAGCUAAUACCGCAUAACGUCGCAAGACCAAAGAGGGGGACCUUCGGGCCUCUUGCCAUCAGAUGUGCCCAGAUGGGAUUAGCUCGUAGGUGGGGUAAUGGCUCACCUAGGCGACGAUCCCUAGCUGGUCUGAGAGGAUGACCAGCCACACUGGAACUGAGACACGGUCCAGACUCCUACGGGAGGCAGCAGUGGGGAAUAUUGCACAAUGGGCGCAAGCCUGAUGCAGCCAUGCCGCGUGUGUGAAGAAGGCCUUCGGGUUGUAAAGCACUUUCAGCGAGGAGGAAGGCAUUAAGGUUAGUAACCUUAGUGAUUGACGUUACCCGCAGAAGAAGCACCGGCUAACUCCGUGCCAGCCGCCGCGGUAA
rnacentral:rRNA from 1 species